ACGGAGGUGGCAAGCGUUGUUCGGAAUUACUGGGCGUAAAGGGCGCGUAGGCGGCCUUCUAAGUCGGACGUGAAAGCCCCAGGCUUAACCUGGGAACUGCGUCCGAUACUGGGAGGCUUGGAUUCGGGAGAGGGAUGUGGAAUUCCAGGUGUAGCGGUGAAAUGCGUAGAUAUCUGGAGGAACACCGGUGGCGAAGGCGGCAUCCUGGACCGAGAUCGACGCUGAGGCGCGAAAGCUAGGGGAGCAAACGGGAUUAGAUACCCCGGUAGUCCUAGCCCUAAACGAUGAGUGCUUGGUGUGGCGGGUAUCGAUCCCUGCCGUGCCGAAGCUAACGCAUUAAGCACUCCGCCUGGGGAGUACGGUCGCAAGGCUG
rnacentral:rRNA from 1 species